UACGUAGGGGGCAAGCGUUGUCCGGAAUCAUUGGGCGUAAAGCGCGCGUAGGCGGCCCGGUAAGUCCGUUGUGAAAGUCAAAGGCUCAACCUUUGAACGCCGAUGGAUACUGCCGGGCUAGAGUCCGGAAGAGGCGAGUGGAAUUCCUGGUGUAGCGGUGGAAUGCGCAGAUAUCAGGAGGAACCCCAAUAGCGAAGGCAGCUCGCUGGGACGGUACUUACGCUGAGGCGCGAAAGCGUGGGGAGCGAACAGG
rnacentral:rRNA from 1 species